UCCUAGGCCAGAUAGAAGUGGAAAUCCGUUUUAUCUGCCUUUUCGGUGAUAUAAAGAUUGUAACGAAUAGCUGGAAUAGCU
rnacentral:sRNA from 1 species